rnacentral:lncRNA from 12 species
GCCAGAAUUUGUAUGCCUAAGUGAUAACAUGAGCGUGCUGCCAGCCAUCUCUGUGAUAAUGCUUCUCCACACGUGAGCAGGCAGGCUCUUCCUCUGUGAUUUGUGAACACAUCUUGCAGAGGACCAACAGCCCCCUUCUUCAGUGGCACUGAGCAGUCG